rnacentral:rRNA from 1 species
UACGUAGGGGGGCAAGCGUUGUCCGGAUUUAUUGGGCGUAAAGCGCGUGUAGGCGGUUUGGUAGGUCCGCUGUGAAAACUCGAGGCUCAACCUCGAGACGCCGGUGGAAACCAUCAGGCUAGAGUCCGGAAGAGGAGAGUGGAAUUCCUGGUGUAGCGGUGAAAUGCGCAGAUAUCAGGAGGAACACCAAUAGCGAAGGCAGCUCGCUGGGACGGUAGCUGACGCUAAGGCGCGAAAGCCGUGGGGAGCGAACGAGG